rnacentral:rRNA from 1 species
AACGAACGCUGGCGGCAUGCCUACACAUUCAAGUCGAACGGAAAGGCCCUGCUUUUGUUGGGUGCUCGAGUGGCGAACGGGUGAGUAACACGGGAGUAACCUGCCCUUGACUUUGGGAUAACUUCAGGAAACUGGGGCUAAUACCGGAUAGGAGCUCCUGCUGCAUGGUGGGGGUUGGAAAGUUUCGGCGGUUGGGGAUGGACUCGCGGCUUAUCAGCUUGUUGGUGGGGUAGUGGCUUACCAAGGCUUUGACGGGUAGCCGGCCUGAGAGGGUGACCGGCCACAUUGGGACUGAGAUACGGCCCAGACUCCUACGGGAGGCAGCAGUGGGGAAUAUUGCACAAUGGGCGGAAGCCUGAUGCAGCAACGCCGCGUGCGGGAUGACGGCCUUCGGGUUGUAAACCGCUUUCGCCUGUGACGAAGCGUGAGUGACGGUAAUGGGUAAAGAAGCACCGGCUAACUACGUG